UACGUAGGGUGCGAGCGUUAAUCGGAAUUACUGGGCGUAAAGUGUGCGCAGGCGGCGUUGCAAGUCGGGUGUGAAAUCCCCGAGCUUAACUUGGGAAUUGCGCUCGAAACUACGAUGCUCGAGUGUGGCAGAGGAAGGUGGAAUUCCACGUGUAGCGGUGAAAUGCGUAGAGAUGUGGAGGAACACCGAUGGCGAAGGCAGCCUGCUGGGCCAACACUGACGCUCAGGCACGAAAGCGUGGGGAGCAAACAGG
rnacentral:rRNA from 1 species